rnacentral:rRNA from 1 species
CGUGUAGGCGGUCUCUUAAGUUUGGUGUGAAAGCCCGGGGCUCACCCCCGGAAGUGCACCGGAUACUGGGAGACUCGAGUACCGGAGAGGAGGGUGGAAUUCCUGGUGUAGCGGUGAAAUGCGUAGAUAUCAGGAGGAACACCGGCGGCGAAGGCGGCCCUCUGGACGGAUACUGACGCUGAGACGCGAAAGCGUGGGGAGCAAACA